GUCCUGGAAUUUCUCCAUUGAUAAUGGAAAGGUUCUUAUUCCAAUAUAGAGAGUGAAGAAAAGCAAGAUUUAAUCAACAUUAGCCAGUGCCAAACUACCACAAAGAAGGCUCCCUGGAUCAUAUUCCCAAUACCACCUGCAUGUGUGUAUAUAUGUUGCGGAGGAUGGAUUAUAGGUUUGCUAGGCACUAUAUGCGCGACAGCUUCUAAAGGCACAACAGUACCUAAGCCAUCAUGCCCGCAACCACAAUUCCCAAACUUUCAAUCCCAGAAACACAACAAACAAGUGAGAUGAACCUCUCCCAAACAAAAACAGAGAGAAAGUGUUGUUCAUUUCAGAAAAAGAAAGGAGAUAGGAGCUUCAUUGAAGGAUGCCUCUUUGCUUUGUGCUGCUGUUGGCUCUGCGAAGCUUGCUUUUAUUAAUGGAACCUCAGGAGAGGAUUGGCACAGAAACACUUCCAAAGUUACCCUCAUCUGCUACUUCAAACUCUAUUUCCAGGACAUGAUCCAUAUCAAUUAUUAUUAGUAUUAUCUGAAAGUGCAAUGUAAUUUGAAUGUGUAAUCUUAAAGUAUUCUACAAUAAUAUGUAAUUUUUUUUUCUUGGGUGGGAUAUAUCCAGCUCCUUAGAUACCA